AGAGUUUGAUCCUGGCUCAGGAUGAACGCUGACAGAAUGCUUAACACAUGCAAGUCAACUUGAACUUCGGUUUGGGUGGCGGACGGGUGAGUAACGCGUAAAGAACUUGCCUCACAGAUAGGGACAACAUUUGGAAACGAAUGCUAAUACCUGAUAUUAUGAUUUUAGGGCAUCCUAGAAUUAUGAAAGCUAUAUGCACUGUGAGAGAGCUUUGCGUCCCAUUAGCUAGUUGGAGAGGUAACGGCUCACCAAGGCGAUGAUGGGUAGCCGGCCUGAGAGGGUGAUCGGCCACAAGGGGACUGAGACACGGCCCUUACUCCUACGGGAGGCAGCAGUGGGGAAUAUUGGACAAUGGACCAAGAGUCUGAUCCAGCAAUUCUGUGUGCACGAUGAAGUUUUUCGGAAUGUAAAGUGCUUUCAGUUGGGAAGAAAAAAAUGACGGUACCAACAGAAGAAGUGACGGCUAAAUACGUGCCAGCAGCCGCGGUAAUACGUAUGUCACAAGCGUUAUCCGGAUUUAUUGGGCGUAAAGCGCGUCUAGGUGGUUAUGUAAGUCUGAUGUGAAAAUGCAGGGCUCAACUCUGUAUUGCGUUGGAAACUGUGUAACUAGAGUACUGGAGAGGUAAGCGGAACUACAAGUGUAGAGGUGAAAUUCGUAGAUAUUUGUAGGAAUGCCGAUGGGGAAGCCAGCUUACUGGACAGAUACUGACGCUGAAGCGCGAAAGCGUGGGUAGCAAACAGGAUUAGAUACCCUGGUAGUCCACGCC
rnacentral:rRNA from 1 species